rnacentral:rRNA from 1 species
CCUACGGGUGACUGCAGUGAGGAAUAUUGGUCAAUGGACGAGAGUCUGAACCAGCCAAGUAGCGUGAAGGAUGACUGCCCUAUGGGUUGUAAACUUCGUUUAUAAAGGAAUAAAACGAGGCACGUGUGCCUUUUUGCAUGUACUUUAUGAAUAAGGAUCGGCUAACUCCGUGCCAGCAGCCGCGGUAAUACGGAGGUUCCGAGCGUUAUCCGGAUUUAUGGGGUUUAAAGGGAGCGUAGAUGGGUUGUUAAGUCAGUUGGGAAAGUUUGCGGCUCAACCGUAAAAUUGCAAUUGAUACUGGCAGUCUUGAGUACAGUUGAGGUAGGCGGACUUCGUGUUGUAGCGGU